GAUGAACGCUGGCGGCGUGCCUAAUACAUGCAAGUCGUGCGAACAGAUGAGGAGCUUGCUCCUCUGACGUUAGCGGCGGACGGGUGAGUAACACGUGGAUAACCUACCUAUAAGACUGGGAUAACUUCGGGAAACCGGAGCUAAUACCGGAUAAUAUAUUGAACCGCAUGGUUCAAUAGUGAAAGACGGUUUUGCUGUCACUUAUAGAUGGAUCCGCGCCGCAUUAGCUAGUUGGUAAGGUAACGGCUUACCAAGGCAACGAUGCGUAGCCGACCUGAGAGGGUGAUCGGCCACACCGGAACUGAGACACGGUCCAGACUCCUACGGGAGGCAGCAGUAGGGAAUCUUCCGCAAUGGGCGAAAGCCUGACGGAGCAACGCCGCGUGAGUGAUGAAGGUCUUCGGAUCGUAAAACUCUGUUAUUAGGGAAGAACAAAUGUGUAAGUAACUAUGCACGUCUUGACGGUACCUAAUCAGAAAGCCACGGCUAACUACGUG
rnacentral:rRNA from 1 species